rnacentral:rRNA from 1 species
GAUCCGGUGGUUCUGAAUGGAAGGGCCCUCGCUCAACGGAUAAAAGGUACUCCGGGGAUAACAGGCUGAUACCGCCCAUGAGUUCAUAUCGACGGCGGUGUUUGGCACCUCGAUGUCGGCUCUUCACAUCCUGGGGCUGAAGUAGGUCCCAAGGGUAUGGCUGUUCGCCAUUUAAAGUGGUACGCGAGCUGGGUUUAGAACGUCGUGAGACAGUUCGGUCCCUAUCAGCCGUGGGCGCUGGAGAAUUGAGGGGGGCUGCUCCUAGUACGAGAGGACCGGAGUGGACGCAUCACUGGUGAUCGGGUUGUCAUGCCAAUGG